UACAGAGGGGGCAAGCGUUAUUCGGAAUCACUGGGCGUAAAGGGCGCGUAGGCGGCCAUUCAAGUCGGGGGUGAAAGCCCAGGGCUCAACCCUGGAAUUGCCUUCGAUACUGUUUGGCUAGAGACCGGAAGAGGUAAGUGGAACUGCGAGUGUAGAGGUGAAAUUCGUAGAUAUUCGCAAGAACACCAGUGGCGAAGGCGGCUUACUGGUCCGGUUCUGACGCUGAGGCGCGAAAGCGUGGGGAGCAAACAGG
rnacentral:rRNA from 1 species